rnacentral:rRNA from 1 species
UACGAAGGGGGCUAGCGUUGCUCGGAAUCACUGGGCGUAAAGGGUGCGUAGGCGGGUCCUUAAGUCAGGGGUGAAAUCCUGGAGCUCAACUCCAGAACUGCCUUUGAUACUGAGGAUCUUGAGUUCGGGAGUGGUGAGUGGAACUGCGAGUGUAGAGGUGUAAUUCGUAGAUAUUCGCAAGAACACCAGUGGCGAAGGCGGCUCACUGGCCCGAUACUGACGCUGAGGCACGAAAGCGUGGGGAGCAAACAGG